AGUUGGUGGAGUGAUUUGUCUGGUUAAUUCCGUUAACGAACGAGACCUCGACCUGCUAAAUAGUUUGGCGAAGCUUUCGGGCUUCGUGCAGACUUCUUAGAGGGACUAUCGUGUGUGUAGCCGAUGGAAGUUCGAGGCAAUAACAGG
rnacentral:rRNA from 1 species